GGCCUGGUAUUGCUGCUUAAAGCAGCCUACAGUCAUCAUGGUUACAUUGCUGUCUUUUUGUCACAGAAGCAGGGAACAUAGGAGGCCUUGUGUAACUGUAACAGGUUCAUUACCCGAUGCACACAAUAAGUCAAUGAACUGAGACACUGCGUUGCAGCAGAGAAAGAACUUUAAUCAUAGGGCCACCAAAUGAGGAGAGGGGAGGGAGCCUCAGAUUCCUCUCCCUGAGGUUAGGGUUUUUUAAGGAUUUUGGAGUGGACUGAAUAGUGAAGAAUACUGAUUGGUUGAAGAGUGCAGGGUGAAGUCAUGGGACAGGAAGAUGAAGAAACUGUAUUUUUUCCUGAUUUGAUUCCUCUGUGGGUGUCUUCCAACUGACUGGCUUCAGCCAUUCCCCUGGAAUUUGGGAUUUCAAAAACAUCUUAAGUAAUGCUUACACAAAAGCCUUAUAAUUCUGUUAGAGAUCUUGCCUAAGGAACAGUGAGGAUGCAAACUGUCAGUAUCUAGUGCUCUGUGACUUUUGGCAAUAAGGAAGUGGGCCAAAGUGCAGCAUGACUGAUGUUUAAUUAUAACCAUACUUCUGUUUGGAAUUUUUGCUAACCCUGUGAAGAAGGCUUCCCUUGCUUAUUGGCUGAAGGUCUACAAGGACUUGAUUCACAUAUCUGAUCAUACCUGGAGUCCAGACUUCCUCCUGAUGCCUGGUGGUUCAAGGGAAAUGAGAGACACUUGGAGUACAGUGUUGCAGCUUGAAGUAGAGGUACCUGGCUGAACCCAGCCCAUGUCAGGCAACUCUCAGGUGCAGUACUUUGAAGUCAGACCACCCCCAACUGGCCCGUAUACACAUGACAGUAAGUGAUCAUUGUCUUAAGCUCCUGAGUUUGGGGGUGUUCCAUUACACAGCAUUACUGUGGCAGUAGCUAACUGAUCAUUAAUCAAAGAUUGGAACAGAAAACUUUACAGUGUUUCUAUGCAAUGAUUUAUCUGCCCAUUCUUUAGAGAGAAGGUGGAUAAGUGAUACCUCUAGUAAUUGUUCCAACAAUUCAAAUUAGAAGAAGUUACAUUUCUCUAAAAGUAUGAAUAAAGUGAAUUGAACUA
rnacentral:lncRNA from 1 species